UACGUAGGUGGCAAGCGUUACUCGGAAUCACUAGGCGUAAAGCGCAUGUAGGCGGUUCGAUAAGUCUUUUGUGAAAGCUCCCGGCUUAACUGGGAGAGGCCAAGGGAAACUGUCGGGCUGGAGUGCGGCAGAGGGAGGUGGAAUUCCACGUGUAGCAGUGAAAUGCGUAGAGAUGUGGAGGAACACCGAUGGCGAAGGCAGCCUCCUGGGCCAGCACUGACGCUCAUGCACGAAAGCGUGGGGAGCAAACAGG
rnacentral:rRNA from 1 species